rnacentral:rRNA from 1 species
AGCGAACGCUGGCGGCAGGCCUAACACAUGCAAGUCGAGCGGGGUUUUCGGACCUAGCGGCGGACGGGUGAGUAAUGCGUAGGAAGCUACCCGAUAGAGGGGGAUACCAGUUGGAAACGACUGUUAAUACCGCAUAAUGUCUACGGACCAAAGUGUGGGACCUUCGGGCCACAUGCUAUCGGAUGCGCCUACGUGGGAUUAGCUAGUUGGUGAGGUAAUGGCUCACCAAGGCGACGAUCCCUAGCUGGUUUGAGAGGAUGAUCAGCCACACUGGAACUGAGACACGGUCCAGACUCCUACGGGAGGCAGCAGUGGGGAAUAUUGGACAAUGGGCGCAAGCCUGAUCCAGCCAUGCCGCGUGUGUGAAGAAGGCCUUCGGGUUGUAAAGCACUUUCAGUAGGGAGGAAGCGUUGUGUGUUAAUAGUACACAGCGUUGACGUUACCUACAGAAGAAGCACCGGCUAACUCUGUGCCAGCAGCCGCAGUAAUAC